rnacentral:rRNA from 1 species
AUUGAACGCUGGCGGCAUGCCUAACACAUGCAAGUCGAACGGAAACGAUGGGAGCUUGCUCCCAGGCGUCGAGUGGCGGACGGGUGAGGAAUGCAUAGGAAUCUGCCCAGUAGCGGGGGACAACUCGGGGAAACUCGAGCUAAUACCGCAUACGCCCUACGGGGGAAAGCAGGGGAUCUUCGGACCUUGCACUAUUGGAUGAGCCUAUGCCUGAUUAGCUUGUUGGUGGGGUAACGGCCUACCAAGGCGACGAUCAGUAGCUGGUCUGAGAGGACGAUCAGCCACACUGGGACUGAGACACGGCCCAGACUCCUACGGGAGGCAGCAGUGGGGAAUAUUGCACAAUGGGCGCAAGCCUGAUGCAGCAAUGCCGCGUGUGUGAAGAAGGCCUGCGGGUUGUAAAGCACUUUCAGUAGGGAGGAAACUGUAACGGAAUAAUACCCGUUACCCUGACGUUACCUACAGAAGAAGCACCGGCUAACUCUG